GGCGCGUAGGCGGACAGUUAAGUUGGGGGUGAAAGCCCGGGGCUCAACCUCGGAAAUGCCUUCAAUACUGGCUGUCUUGAGUACGGGAGAGGUGAGUGGAACUCCGAGUGUAGAGGUGAAAUUCGUAGAUAUUCGGAAGAACACCAGUGGCGAAGGCGACUCACUGGCCCGUUACUGACGCUGAGGCGCGAAAGCGUGGGGAGCAAACAGGAUUAGAUACCCUUGGUAGUCCAG
rnacentral:rRNA from 1 species